rnacentral:rRNA from 1 species
UACAUGGGGUGCAACCGUUGCUCGGAAUUAUUGGGCGUAAAGCGCGCGUAGGCGGUUAUCUAAGUCGGAUGUGAAGGCCCUCGGCUUAACUGAGGAAGUGCACCCGAAACUGGAUAGCUAGAGUACGAAAGAGGGUCGCGGAAUUCCCGGUGUAGAGGUGAAAUUCGUAGAUAUCGGGAGGAACACCGGUGGCGAAGGCGGCGACCUGGGUCGAGACUGACGCUGAGGCGCGAAAGCGUGGGGAGCAAACAGG